rnacentral:lncRNA from 1 species
AGUGGAACAAGAUCAGGAAAUGUCAAGCAAGAUGGCUACUAUAGAGGAUCUUCAUAACCGACUCAAACUGAACAUUGACAAUAUACAGCAGCUUAAUAGUCAGUUAAAUUCUUUACAAAAAGAUAACCACAGAUAACGAAGUUAUUUGGAACGUGAGAUUGGUACCUGGCAGACCCUUGAACUACAGAUCGAGAGUAAAGAACAGACUAUAAAUAGCCUCAAAACUCAACUUGAGGCCGAGAAACAUCUUCUCAUUGAACACAGCUCUCCAUUGAAGGAUCCCAAUCAUGCUAUGGUAAAGGAAAAUCAGCAGUGGUAGAGGAGACGAAUGAUGGUGCAAAAAGUAGAAAUGUCACAAGUUAACAGUAAGAGAAAUAUGGAUGAAGAUAUUGACUCAAGCCAGUAACUGGACAUUUCCUGAGCUUGCAAGAAGUUGAAUAGGCCAUGAAAAGGAGGUUGAUGUUGAGAAAUAAUGCCAGAUGCAGUUCCUUGUGGCAACUUCAAACCUAUAGUACUAUAGGAGGGGGCAACAGUUACCACUAUUAACCUAGAAACCAGUGACCUAAUUUGAAGUUGGAAUAUACCACAAAAAUCCCACACAAAGCUGCAUAAUACACAAAUUGCUGUAACAUAGAUAUCUGUGUCGUGACUAAAAGGAAAUUUCACCAGCGGCACAAAGGAUCACUGGGAUUGCAUGGAAGAUUCAGACACUAUGACUGUAAAAAGCACAAUAGUCCAACACAUCGGUACCUGGUAUUCAGUCGGUAGUAGAGAAAUUGUGUAUUUGGCUUGAAAAGAUCCUAAAGUGAUUUUCCAGAAUGGAAGACAGUUUAAUUUUCCAGUUCAUGUCUCAGCAUCACCAUGCACAAAAAUAACAAACACUUUUUUCAGCUGUGUUUCUUCUUUAGCGUAUUCUUUUACCAAUGUUCUGGAAAUUGUUCCCUAAACCAGUCACACUAACAAUUAGAUCUUGCUAUGACACUACUUGGUAUCCAGUACAGUGCCUAUAGCUGACAGACAUAUUUAUUAUGAAAAACUGGGACGGCCUGCGAAAGGUUACAUAUGUUAAGAGGAUAUUAGAAGAUGGAGGCAUUUUUCAAGCAAUGACUACAUUAUGAAGUAAAAUUGUAGCCUUUUGUUUAAAAUGUGAAAAUGCUAUCCUUUAAUACUCAUGACAAAUGUGGUACCAAAAUUUUCAUUAUCUUGAGUAGAAAAUAACAAUUGUGAUUGGAAAUUCAAAUUGUGUUUGGCGUAAAAAAAAUUGUUUCUUUCCGGUAUCCCGAACUACCCUAAAAUUUUGGCCCAACCCUAAAUGUUUUGGAAAAUAAUUUUUUCAACUUUUUGACAAAAAGUUGCCACACUGCACUUUU